AAAGGUACUCAAGGGCACUAAAUGGAUGCCUAGACGUAUAUUACCGAUGAAGGACGUGGAAGACUGCGAUAAGCUUCGGGUAGCUGCCAACAAGCUAUGAUCCGGAGAUUUCCGAAUGGGAAAACCUAGCAUGAGGAAAGUCAUGUUGUCCUGCGCUGAAUACAUAGGCGUAGUGAACGGGAACCAUCUGAACUGAAACAUCUUAGUAGGAUGAGGAAAAGAAAGUAAAUAACGAUUCUCGGAGUAGUGGCGAGCGAAACGGGAAGAGCCCAAACCUUAUAAGUUUUUGCCUGUUCGCAGGCAAAUAAGCUGAUAGGCGAAUGCUUACAAGGGGUUGUGAUAUUACACACGACCAAGCCAGAGAACUUGAAUUCGUUCGAGGUAUCUGGUUUGCGACUACUGGCUAUCAACGGUAGGUAAGGUAAGAAAACAGCGUGGUUAGCAGAAUAGUUUGAAUGGCUAGCCAAAGAACGUGAAAGCCGUGUACGUGAAAACGACGCUGACCUUAUAUGUGUUUUAUCGAGUAGGACGGGGCACGAGAAACCCUGUUUGAAUCUGGCUGGACCACCAGCCAAGGCUAAAUAUAAUAUACGAUCGAUAGUGAACAAGUACAGUGAUGGAAAGGUGAAAAGAACCCCGGGAGGGGAGUGAAAUAGAUCCUGAAAUUUAGUGCCUACAAGGAGUCGGAGCCGGCUUGUCCGGUGACGGCGUGCUUUUUGUAGAACGAUCCAGCGAGUUAAUUUCGUGCGCAAGGUUAAGCCAGUUGGCGGAGCCACAGUGAAAGCGAGCCUGAAUAGGGCGAUUAAGUGUACGGGAUUAGACCCGAAACCGGGUGACCUAACCAUGAGCAGGUUGAAGCCACUGUAACAGGUGGUGGAGGACCGAACCAGGAUACGCAGCAAAGUGUUUGGAUGACUUGUGGUUAGCGGUGAAAUGCCAAUCGAACUCGGAGAUAGCUGGUUCUCCUCGAAAUAGCUUUAGGGCUAGCGUCAUGUUAGUAAUGUAUGGGGGUAGAGCUCUGUAAAGGAUUGGGGCGGGCAACUGUACCCACCCUUAACAAACUACGAAUACCAUAUAUGUAAUCAUGGCAGUUAGAACAUCGGUGCUAAGAUCGGUGCUCAAAAGGGAAACAGCCCAGACCAUCAUCUAAGGUCCCUAAAUAUACAUUAAGUGGGAAACAAGGUGAAAUUUCUUAAACAGCGAGGAUGUUGGCUUAGAAGCAGCCAUUCAUUUAAAGAGUGCGUAACAGCUCACUCGUCAAGAGAUUUUGCGUGGAAAAUGUAACGGGGCUAAAUGUAUUACCGAAGAUAUGGAUUAUUACAUUAGUAAUAGUGGUAGAGGAGCGUUCCUAUCAGCAGUGAAGCAGUAUUGAAAAAUAUUGUGGAGCGGUAGGAAGUGAGAAUGCUGGAAUGAGUAACCAUAAGAUAGGUGAGAAUCCUGUCGGCCGUAAGAGCAAGGUUUCCUGAGCUAUGGUAAUCAUCUCAGGGUUAGUCGGGCCUAAGCCGAGGCGCAUAGCGUAGGCGAUGGACAUCAGGUUGAUAUUCCUGAACCGGCGUAGUUUGUACACUGUUCACGGAGAGAUAUUCAGAGCGGAUUCAUGGUUUAUCCGUCCAACCGAGCGGGAACGCAAAGGGAGUGAAAGUUACUCUGCGGAGUGAUGAUUCUGGAAAAGGCUCUGGCUAGAAAAGCAGGUGUACGCGUGGCUAUGUCCGCCCGUACCGCAAACCAACACAGGUGCUCGAGUCGAGUAGACUCAGGCUUACGAGUGAACCUUCGCUAAGGAACUCGGCAAUACAGCGACCGUAACUUCGGAAUAAGGUCUGCCCCCACUUCGGUGGAUAUGUUGUCGGUUUCAAAGCUAGCAGGUGUGGUUGAAGAGUAUCUUUAAUACAUCAAUUCUUCUUGAGAUAGAACCAAUAGCUUUUGGAACUGAAGCUCAACGCAUCUAGCGAUGUGGGGGCCGCAGCAAAAGAGCCCACGGAACUGUUUAUCAAAAACACAGCUCUCUGCUAACACGAAAGUGGAUGUAUAGGGGGUGACUCCUGCCCGGUGCUGGAAGGUUAAGGGGAGUGCUUCACGGUACGAACUGAAGCCCCAGUGAACGGCGGCGGUAACUAUAACCGUCCUAAGGUAGCGAAAUUCCUUGUCAGGU
rnacentral:rRNA from 1 species